GGAGAGUUGUGGGGACGCGCUGCUCAGCUGUGGGGCCACAGAAGGCAGGACGCCCUGACCAUGUCCACCAUGGCCUGGUGCCCUCUGCUCUUAACCCUGGUCGCUCUCUGCACAGGAUCCUGGGCCCAGGCAGUGGUGACUCAGCCAGCCUCCGUGUCUGGGUCCCCGGGCCAGAGGGUCACCAUCACCUGCACUGGGACCAGCAACAACAUCGGCGGUGGUUAUUAUGUGGGCUGGUUCCAACAGAUCCCAGGAUCGGCCCCCAGACUGCUCAUCUAUGCUACUACCAGUCGAGCCUCGGGGGUCCCGGACCGAUUCUCUGGCUCCAGGUCUGGCAACACGGCCACCCUGACCAUUAGUUCGCUCCAGGCUGAGGACGAGGCGGAUUAUUACUGUGCGUCUGCUGACGGUAGGAGCUUUGAUGGCACAGUGCUCCAGGCCAGGGGGGAAGUGAGACAAAAACCUGCUCUGCUCCAGACAUGGGCCUCCCGGGGCUGAACCAUCCUUUGCCAAUGCAGACACUUCUGUUCUUUGUUUGAUUUAAAACUAGGGUCUGAGCCCCACACCGUGAACUUGGUCUGGGAAAUCCUUUCAGACCUUCUUCAUUCUGCCCCCUCAC